rnacentral:rRNA from 1 species
ACCAACCACUGUACCACGUUGAAUAUACCAGUUCUCGUCCGAUCACUGGAGUCAAGUUCCAGUUCUCGUCCGAUCACACGCUCAAGCGACGUUGAGCGUGGCCACUACUGGGAUGGGUGAGCAUAUGGUAUAUCACGUUUUGUUGAUU